GUAGGUGGCAAGCGUUGUCCGGAAUUAUUGGGCGUAAAGCGCGCGCAGGCGGUUCUUUAAGUCUGAUGUGAAAGCCCACGGCUCAACCGUGGAGGGUCAUUGGAAACUGGGGAACUUGAGUACAGAAGAGGAAAGCGGAAUUCCACGUGUAGCGGUGAAAUGCGUAGAGAUGUGGAGGAACACCAGUGGCGAAGGCGGCUUUCUGGUCUGUAACUGACGCUGAGGCGCGAAAGCGUGGGGAGCAAACAGGGAUUAGAUACCCUGGUAGUCCACGCGUAAACGAUGAGUGCUAAGUGUUAGGGGGUUUCCCGCCCCUUAGUGCUGCAGCUAACGCAUUAAGCACUCGCCUGGGGAUACGGCCGCAAGGCUG
rnacentral:rRNA from 1 species